rnacentral:rRNA from 1 species
GAUAAACGCUGGCGGCGUGCCUAAUACAUGCAAGUCGAACGGAGGUUUGUAGCAAUACGGACCUUAGUGGCGAAUGGGUGAGUAACGCGUUGGUGACCUGCCCCGAAGAGGGGGAUAACAGUUCGAAAGGACUGUUAAUACCCCAUGUGGUUACAGGGUUUAGAAGCCUGUAACUAAAGGAGCAAUCCGCUUUGGGAGGGACCUGCGUCCCAUCAGCUAGUUGGUAGGGUAACGGCCUACCAAGGCUACGACGGGUAGGGGGCCUGAGAGGGUGGCCCCCCACACUGGCACUGAAACACGGGCCAGACACCUACGGGUGGCAGCAGUAGGGAAUAUUGCACAAUGGGCGAAAGCCUGAUGCAGCAACGCCGCGUGCACGAUGAAGGCCUUCGGGUCGUAAAGUGCUUUUUGGGGAGACGAGGAAGGACGGUAUCCCUAGAAUAAGGAUCGGCUAACUACGUGCCAGCAGCCGCGGUAAAAC